UACGUAGGGGGCGAGCGUUGUCCGGAUUUAUUGGGCGUAAAGAGCUCGUAGGCGGCUUGUUGCGUCGGCCGUGAAAACCCGCGGCUUAACUGUGGGCUUGCGGUCGAUACGGGCGGGCUGGAGUUCGGUAGGGGAGACUGGAAUUCCUGGUGUAGCGGUGAAAUGCGCAGAUAUCAGGAGGAACACCGGUGGCGAAGGCGGGUCUCUGGGCCGAUACUGACGCUGAGGAGCGAAAGCGUGGGGAGCGAACAGG
rnacentral:rRNA from 1 species